AGUGCGCUCGGUCACCUCCCUCCUGCUGGCUGCCCUCGGGGGCAGCACCUCCCUCAGAGCCAAAGACAUCAAGAGGAUCCUGGACAGCGUAGGCAUCGAGGCGGACGACGACCGGCUCAACGAGGUUAUCAGUGAGCUGAAUGGAAAAAGCAUUGAAGAUGUCAUUGCCCAGGGUAUUGGCAAGGUUGCCAGUGUACCUGCCGGUGGGGCUGUGGCUGUCUCUGCUGCCCCAGGCUGUGCAGCUCCUGCUGCUGGUUCCACCCCCGCUGCAGCAGAGGAGAAGAUGAGGAGGAGGAGGAGGUGUCCAAAGAGUCAGACGAUGACAUGGGAUUUGGUCUCUUUUAUUAA
rnacentral:lncRNA from 10 species